rnacentral:rRNA from 2 species
GCAGCCUGAUCCAGCCAUACCGCGUGGGUGAAGAAGGCCUUCGGGUUGUAAAGCCCUUUUGUUGGGAAAGAAAUCCAGCCGGCUAAUACCCGGUUGGGAUGACGGUACCCAAAGAAUAAGCACCGGCUAACUUCGUGCCAGCAGCCGCGGUAAUACAA